rnacentral:misc_RNA from 1 species
ACAUCUGAAACAGAUUUCAUGACAGAGUAUGUUGUAACACGCUGGUAUCGUGCACCGGAGUUGCUCCUAAAUUGUUCAGAAUACACAGCAGCGAUUGAUAUCUGGUCAGUUGGUUGCAUACUGGGUGAGAUGAUGACAAGACAACCUCUCUUUCCUGGAAGGGAUUACGUUCACCAGUUGAAACUUAUCACAGAGCUCAUAGGAUCGCCUGAUGAUGCCAGUCUUGGAUUUCUCCGGAGUGAUAAUGCUCGGAGGUAUGUUAGACAGCUACCACAGUACCCAAGGCAACAAUUUGCUGCUAAAUUCCCCAAUGCAUCUCCUGGAGCGGUUGAUUUACUUGAAAAAAUGCUUGUCUUUGACCCAAGCAAGCGUGUUACAGUUGAUGAAGCUCUCUGCCACCCCUACUUGGCACCUCUCCAUGAUAUCAAUGAGGAGCCUGUUUGUCCAAGGCCUUUCAGUUUUGACUUUGAGCAACCAUCUUUUACUGAAGAAAAUAUCAA